GGACAGGUGGUUGCAUGGUUGUCGUCAGCUCGUGUCGUGAGAUGUUGGGUUAAGUCCCGCAACGAGCGCAACCCUUAUUGCUAGUUACCAUCAUUGAGUUGGGGACUCUAGCGAGACUGCCAGCGAUAAGCUGGAGGAAGGUGGGGAUGACGUCAAAUCAUCAUGCCCCUUAUGACCUGGGCUACAAACGUGAUACAAUGGCUGGAACAAAGGGAGGCGAAGGGGUGACCUGGAGCGAAACCCAAAAAUACAGUCUCAGUUCGGAUUGAAGUCUGCAACUCGACUUCAUGAAGUCGGAAUCGCUAGUAAUCGCGGAUCAGAACGCCGCGGUGAAUACGUUCUCGGGGUUU
rnacentral:rRNA from 1 species